UGGGGAAUAUUGGACAAUGGGCGCAAGCCUGAUCCAGCCACGCCGCGUGAGUAAUGAAGGCCUUCGGGUCGUAAAGCUCUGUGGGGAGGGACGAACCGCUGCACGUUCAUAGCGUGCAGCAUGACGGUACCUCCUUAGCAAGCACCGGCUAACUUCGUGCCAGCAGCCGCGGUAAUACGAAGGGUGCAAACGUUGCUCGGAAUUACUGGGCGUAAAGCGCAUGUAGGCGGCCUAGCAGGUCGGAUGUGAAAGCCCUCGGCUCAACCGAGGAAGUGCAUUCGAAACCGCAAGGCUUGAGUCCCGGAGAGGGUAGUGGAAUUCUCGGUGUAGAGGUGAAAUUCGUAGAUAUUCGGAGGAACACCAGUGGCGAAGGCGGCUCACUGGUCCAUUACUGACGCUGAGGUGCGAAAGCGUGGGGAGCAAACA
rnacentral:rRNA from 1 species